rnacentral:lncRNA from 1 species
CGCAAAAGAUUUAUCUUUAAAAAAAUUUAAAUUAUUCGAGUUACUGGUCACAGAAAUCAAAGCGAACACACUUAACCCUUCUCUGAAUUUACAAUACAAGGAACAAUAUUUCCUCCAUUGAUUUCACCAAGAAUCAAACUAAAAAUCCGAAAGGGAGUAGAAAACUUGAAUAUCUUGAAUGAGAUUUUCGAAAGAGAGAUGACGAGCCCUGAAAAUGAAGUUGUGUGUCUCUCAAAACCAGAUGCCAA